rnacentral:rRNA from 1 species
UGGUGGAGUGAUUUGUCUGGUUAAUUCCGAUAACGAACGAGACUCUGUCCUGCUAAAUAGUACGUUGAUCCUGGAUUGCCGUCAAACGUGAUCUCAGUCAACGCUGACUUCUUAGAGGGAUACGCGGUAUUUAAACCGCACGAAAUAGAGCAAUAACA